rnacentral:hammerhead_ribozyme from 1 species
AUGCGGUCUGCUGUUUUAAUUACUGACAGCACUGAUGAGCCCAAAGGUAGGGCGAAACCGCAU